CUCCCUUUUUUGCUAAUGCAUUUAUCACUUUCCACUCCUCAUUUCUUUCUGCAAAGCUUCUCAAACUCUCCCUCCUCUCUGUUUAUGUGAGUUUUGGCUUUGUAUAAAAUUCCACAGGAAAAUCUAAUCCAAGUAGUUUUGCUAGACAAGGAGUAGAGGAAUCGCAGCACUACUUGUAAAGAGAGAAAAGCAGAAAUUGCAAUAAUAGAGAAGAAGAUGCAUGUAAUAGUGAUAUCGUUGCCUUUGGUCAUAUUGGUAUUGAUCGUAGCCAUUGCUUGUUUCCUGUUUGGAAGAUCUCGGGGCCGCUGGUGAUUGUUCGCCACAGAAAGUGAAAGAAUCACUGUCCGAAAAAAGUCUCGUCGCUAAAACUUGUUUAUUUUUCCGGUACCUUAAAAUGCUUUGUUAUACUUGGAUCUUCCAAGUUAUUGUUGGAGCACUCAGCAGCAUGGACAGAGUCAGGGUGGCGGAAGGAGGUUCUGAUCGUCGGAAAAUUACAUUAUGUAUAUAGGGUUAAAAUUUUUUUUAUGUAUAUGUAUUAGCUUUUAAAUCCUCUUGAUUCUAGGGUGGCGGAAGGGGUUUGGAUCGUCGGAAAAUUACACUAUGUAUAUAAGGUCAAAUAGAAUUUUAUGUAUAUGUAUUAGUGUUAGUAAACUGUAUUUGUAAACUAA